UAAACUACAUAGGUAGUAAUUAACUUUUAAAAAACCGUAGCAUAAUGACGGCAUUUUACCUUACUAGAGGAACUUGUAAUAUAAUCGACAACCCCCGAUAAAUUUCACUUUUUUUAUAAAUUUUAUAUACCGCCGUAUUAACCUAUUUAACACAUGAACUUAUAUCCUCUUCCCCCAAACUCAGGUAAAGGUGUAAACCAUAAAAAAGUAUCUAUGAGUUACAAUAAAAACAUUUACUAAAUUAGAAUUUAGAAGUAAAAAAUGUCCAAUAAUUUUUAAAUUUAUUCAAUUUUGAAUAAGAAAAAAAAUGUGU
rnacentral:rRNA from 1 species